GGAUGUGAGGGAGAUUUGGCUGCAACAUCUGUCACCCCAUUGAUCACCAGGGUUGAUUCAGCUGAUCUGGCUGAUUAGGCGAGUGUCCCCUUCCUCCCUCCCUGCUCCAUGUGUAUCCCUCCUGAAGCUGCGAAGCUGCGUGCUCAGUCAAAGAGGACGACCAUCCCCGAAAGAGGAGGACUGUUCUUUGGUCCCCUGCUAGAACCUCCACGGUUAUGUGCCGU
ensembl:misc_RNA 7SK 7SK RNA